UGGUGGAGUGAUUUGUCUGCUUAAUUGCGUUAACGAACGAGACCUCAGCCUGCUAAAUAGUUAUGCGAACCAUCUGCUUGGGUGAAGCGUUCGGGGCAGUCGCGACCUGGUUG
rnacentral:rRNA from 1 species